UACGGAGGGUGCAAGCGUUAAUCGGAAUUACUGGGCGUAAAGCGCACGUAGGUGGUUUGCUAAGUCAGCUGUGAAAUCCCCGGGCUUAACCUGGGAGCUGCAUUCGAAACUGUCUUGCUAGAGUAUGGGAGAGGGAGGUGGAAUUUCAGGUGUAGCGGUGAAAUGCGUAGAUAUCUGAAGGAACAUCAGUGGCGAAAGCGACCUCCUGGACCAAUACUGACGCUCAGGUGCGAAAGCGUGGGGAGCAAACAGG
rnacentral:rRNA from 1 species